CACCAAGGUUAGUAAUUAAUUAGUUAUGAUGAAGAUGGUGAAGUUAAUUACUUAUUUAUUUGAUCUUUGAUUGCAGAACGAUAAGAACUCGAUUAUGCAAAUGGCGGCGAAGAGAAUUCUUGAGCUGAAGCAAUAUAAGGAGGUGUUGGAGAGGAGAAACCAUGAGCUCGAAGUGAAGGCGAUGAAGGUUGGAAAUGUACCGAGGAGUAUAAAGAUUAAGUUCAAAGUAGGAAAUUCAACAUCAGGGGUUGAU
rnacentral:misc_RNA from 1 species